GAUGAACGCUGGCGGCGUGCCUAAUACAUGCAAGUCGAGCGAACAGAUGAGGAGCUUGCUCCUCUGACGUUAGCGGCGGACGGGUGAGUAACACGUGGAUAACCUACCUAUAAGACUGGGAGAACUUCGGGAAACCGGAGCUAAUACCGGAUAAUAUAUUGAACCGCAUGGUUCAAUAGUGAAAGACGGUUUUGCUGUCACUUAUAGAUGGAUCCGCGCCGCAUUAGCUAGUUGGUAAGGUAACGGCUUACCAAGGCAACGAUGCGUAGCCGACCUGAGAGGGUGAUCGGCCACACUGGAACUGAGACACGGUCCAGACUCCUACGGGAGGCAGCAGUAGGGAAUCUUCCGCAAUGGGCGAAAGCCUGACGGAGCAACGCCGCGUGAGUGAUGAAGGUCUUCGGAUCGUAAAACUCUGUUAUUAGGGAAGAACAAAUGUGUAAGUAACUAUGCACGUCUUGACGGUACCUAAUCAGAAAGCAACGGCUAACUACGUG
rnacentral:rRNA from 1 species